rnacentral:rRNA from 1 species
CCUACGGGAGGCAGCAGUGGGGAAUAUUGCACAAUGGGCGAAAGUCUGAUGCAGCGACGCCGCGUGAGGGAUGACGGCCUUCGGGUUGUAAACCUCUUUCAGCAGGGAAGAAGCGAAAGUGACGGUACCUGCAGAAGAAGCGCCGGCUAACUACGUGCCAGCAGCCGCGGUAAUACGUAGGGCGCAAGCGUUGUCCGGAAUUAUUGGGCGUAAAGAGCUCGUAGGCGGCUUGUCACGUCGGAUGUGAAAGCCCGGGGCUUAACCCCGGGUCUGCAUUCGAUACGGGCUAGCUAGAGUGUGGUAGGGGAGAUCGGAAUUCCUGGUGUAGCGGUGAAAUGCGCAGAUAUCAGGAGGAACACCGGUGGCGAAGGCGGAUCUCUGGGCCAUUACUGACGCUGAGGAGCGAAAGCGUGGGGAGCGAACAGGAUUAGAUACCCUGGUAGUCCACGCCGUAAACGUUGGGAACUAGGUGUUGGCGACAUUCCACGUCGUCGGUGCCGCAGCUAACGCAUUAAGUUCCCCGCCUGGGGAGUACGGCCGCAAGGCUAAAACUCAAAUGAAUUGACGG